UACGUAGGAGGCAAGCGUUGUCCGGAAUUACUGGGCGUAAAGCGCGUGUAGGUGGUGGGACAAGUCUGCUGUGAAAGCGCCUGGCUUAACCGGGCGAGGUCGGCGGAAACUGUCCGACUCGAGGACGGUAGAGGGGGGUGGAAUUCCCGGUGUAGUGGUGAAAUGCGUAGAGAUCGGGAGGAACACCGGUGGCGAAGGCGGCUACCUGGACCGGUUCUGACGCUGAUGCGCGAAAGCGUGGGUAGCAAACAGGG
rnacentral:rRNA from 1 species